rnacentral:rRNA from 1 species
CCUACGGGUGGCAGCAGUGAGGAAUAUUGGUCAAUGGCCGAGAGGCUGAACCAGCCAAGUCGCGUGAGUGAAGAAUGUCCUAUGGAUUGUAAACCUCUUUUGCCAGGGAGCAAAGUCCCCCACGUGUGGGUGUUGGAGAGUACCUGAAGAAAAAGCAUCGGCUAACCACAUGCCAGCAGCCGCGGUAAUACGGAGGAUGCGAGCGUUAUCCGGAUUUAUUGGGUUUAAGGGGUGCGUAGGCGGGUCAUCAAGUCAGCGGUAAAAUCGUGGGGCGCAACUCCAUCCAGCCGUUGAAACUGAUGAUCUGGAGUGGGCGAGAGGUAUGCGGAAUGCGUGGUGUAGCGGUGAAAUGCAUAGAUAUCACGCAGAACUCCGAUUGCGAAGGCAGCAUACCGGCGCCCGACUGACGCUGAGGCACGAAAGCGUGGGUAUCGAACAGGAUUAGAUACCCCUGUAGUC